AUUCAGAAUGCUGUUGCGUUUAGACGUCUGUGAGUAACAUGCGUCUCUUGACCACGCGAUUUACUUAAGUAUGUACGAUUAAGCGAGAAAUUUGACCACAUCACAUUCGAUUCUUCUAGGAAAAAGAAAUCUACCAGAACUUGAGAAACAUAUAUUACAUUAAUCAAACGUAACUGCUAGAAGUUGAAUCAAGACAACACACGAGAAGAUGGGUUUCAAAAUAAGUUUGUUAUUUGUAUUUGCUACCUUCAGCGUGAUUAGCACGGUAUACCUGUAUACAGCAAAAGGGGAAAGAAGUUUGCGUCCGAAUGAAGAAUAUAGGAAGCUUCAUGGCAGACCUACUUAUUGUGAUAUUCCAUAUGACGAUGGUAGAUGCUGUGAGAUUAAACAUCCCAAUGGUACCUGCAUCAAAAAGUCGACGAAACUUCAAGUAGACAAUAAUCUAUUCAGAUUUUGGUAUAAUAAAGAAUUGAAAAUAUGUGAUUCUUUUCUGUGGAAAAUGUGCAGUCAAAAUGACAAUAAUUUUAAAUAUUGGCAAGAUUGCAUGGACUUGUGCUAUUGAAAAAUAUAAUUCUGGAUACAUUUUACAUAUAAAAUUUUUAUAGGUUUCUUAUAUAUUGAUAUA